GAUGAACGCUGGCGGCGUGCCUAAUACAUGCAAGUCGAGCGAACAGACGAGGAGCUUGCUCCUCUGACGUUAGCGGCGGACGGGUGAGUAACACGUGGAUAACCUACCUAUAAGACUGGGAUAACUUCGGGAAACCGGAGCUAAUACCGGAUAAUAUAUUGAACCGCAUGGUUCAAUAGUGAAAGACGGUUUUGCUGUCACUUAUAGAUGGAUCCGCGCCGCAUUAGCUAGUUGGUAAGGUAACGGCUUACCAAGGCAACGAUGCGUAGCCGACCUGAGAGGGUGAUCGGCCACCCUGGAACUGAGCCACGGUCCAGACUCCUACGGGAGGAAGCAGUAGGGAAUCUUCCGCAAUGGGCGAAAGCUUGACGGAGCAACGCCGCGUGAGGGAUGAAGGUUUUCGGAUCGUAAAACUCUGUUAUUAGGGAAGAACAAAUGUGUAAGUAACUAUGCACGUCUUGACGGUACCUAAUCAGAAAGCCACGGCUAACUACGUG
rnacentral:rRNA from 1 species